rnacentral:rRNA from 1 species
GGGGAUCGGGUGACAGGUGGUGCAUGGUUGUCGUCAGCUCGUGUCGUGAGAUGUUGGGUUAAGUCCCGCAACGAGCGCAACCCUCGACCUUAGUUGCCAGCAUUCAGUUGGGCACUCUAAGGUGACUGCCGGCUAAAAGUCGGAGGAAGGUGGGGAUGACGUCAAAUCAUCAUGCCCCUUAUGACCUGGGCUACACACGUGCUACAAUGGGCGGUACAAAGGGUCGCGAACCCGCGAGGGGGAGCCAAUCCCAAAAAGCCGCUCUCAGUUCGGAUUGCAGGCUGCAACUCGCCUGCAUGAAGCCGGAAUCGCUAGUAAUCGCGGAUCAGCAUGCCGCGGUGAAUACGUUCCCGGGCCUU